AUUAAUCAAUUUAUUGCUGGAAAAAAAUCAAUAAUUAAUACUCAAUGGCAGCCUAGUAAAUAAGUCCCAACUCUAAGAUUUAUUUCACAAAAUGGCUGCAAAAAUGUAUAUAUAGAUGAUUCAUUAUUUCAUUUUAUGCGGUAGGAGUAAAAACAACAUUAACUAGCAAAAACUAUAAUACACACACAACAGUAACUACUCAUCGAGU
rnacentral:sRNA from 1 species